AGGGCUGGGGCUCAGCAGUAGAGCGCUCGCCUCACACGUGUGAGAACCUGAGUUCUAUCCUCAGCACCACAU
rfam:Ictidomys tridecemlineatus contig041612, whole genome shotgun sequence.